AGGAUGAACGCUAGCUACAGGCUAACACAUGCAAGUCGAGGGGCAGCAUGGGAUUAGCUUGCUAAUCCUGAUGGCGACCGGCGCACGGGUGAGUAACGCGUAUCCAACCUUCCCCUUACUCAGGGAGUAGCCCGGUGAAAACCGGAUUAACACCUGAUAGUUUCACUAGAUGGCAUCUGACGGUGAAUAAAGCUUUGCGGUAAGGGAUGGGGAUGCGUCUGAUUAGCUUGUUGGCGGGGUAACGGCCCACCAAGGCAACGAUCAGUAGGGGUUCUGAGAGGAAGGUCCCCCACAUUGGAACUGAGACACGGUCCAAACUCCUACGGGAGGCAGCAGUGAGGAAUAUUGGUCAAUGGGCGAGAGCCUGAACCAGCCAAAGUAGCGUGCAGGAUGACGGCCCUAUGGGUUGUAAACUGCUUUUGUACGGGAAUAAAGUGACCUACGUGUAGGUUUUUGCAUGUACCGUAAGAAUAAGGACCGGCUAAUUCCGUGCCAGCCGCGGC
rnacentral:rRNA from 1 species